GGUGAACGCUGGCGGUAGGCCUAACACAUGCAAGUCGAACGGCAGCACAGUAAGAGCUUGCUCUUACGGGUGGCGAGUGGCGGACGGGUGAGGAAUACAUCGGAAUCUACUUUUUCGUGGGGGAUAACGUAGGGAAACUUACGCUAAUACCGCAUACGACCUACGGGUGAAAGCAGGGGAUCUUCGGACCUUGCGCGAUUGACUGAGCCGAUGUCGGAUUAGCUAGUUGGCGGGGUAAAGGCCCACCAAGGCGACGAUCCGUAGCUGGUCUGAGAGGAUGAUCAGCCACACUGGAACUGAGACACGGUCCAGACUCCUACGGGAGGCAGCAGUGGGGAAUAUUGGACAAUGGGCGCAAGCCUGAUCCAGCCAUACCGCGUGGGUGAAGAAGGCCUUCGGGUUGUAAAGCCCUUUUGUUGGGAAAGAAAAGCAGCAGGUUAAUACCCCGCUGUUCUGACGGUACCCAAAGAAUAAGCACCGGCUAACUUCGUG
rnacentral:rRNA from 1 species